rnacentral:tRNA from 1 species
AACUUACAUAAUAUAAUAAUUAUAUUUGACUUCCAAUCAAAAAAUCUAGAGUCCUAGUGUAAGUA